rnacentral:rRNA from 1 species
GCCWAAAUCCUAGCCCACCGACUACCUCAACUUUACUUCCAUAAAAUAAAACAUUCUCCUCAUUAAGUAACGGCGAUUAAAAAAUGACCCGGGCCAUAAAAUAGUACCGCAAGGGAAAUGUGAAAUAAAAUGAAAAACCUAAAGCACAUAAUAGCAAAGUUUUAAUCUUGUACCUUUUGCAUCAUGGUCUAGCUAGUUUAAUCAAGCAAAACGCACUUAAAGUUUGACCCCCCGAAACUAAGCGAGCUACUCCAAAACAGCCUGACAGGGCCAACCCAUCCCUAUAGCAAAAGGGUGGGAAGAUUUUAGAGUAGAGGUGACACACCUAUCGAGCCUAGAGAUAGCUGGUUAUUCAAGAAAAGGAUUUCAGUCCACCUUUAAGUUUUCCAAGUACCACCAAACACCCUAUAAACUUCAAAGCUAUUCAAAUAAGGUACAGCCUAUUUGAAAAAGGAAACAACCUACAACUCAGGGUAAUGACUUACUCAUGUGACCAAGUCAGCCUAAAAGCAGCUAACUUCCAAAAAGCGUUCAAGCUUCACCACAAAUCAUCAUCAAUUCCACAAUUAACUCACAACCCUCAACCACUACUGAAUAAUUUCAUACUGUAUGAAAAAUAUUAUGCUAGAACUAGUAACAAGAAGAAGACCUUCUCCAAAAUGUAAACGUAAGCCAAAAUGAACCCCACACCGGCAUUUACCGUCAUAAGCCCGCAGUACCAACAUUACAAGAAAAACGUACUCUAACUAACGUUAACCUUACACCAGAGCAUUCCCGGAAAGAUCAAAAAAGGGGGAAGGAACUCGGCAAACAUUAGCCCCGCCUGUUUACCAAAAACAUCGCCUCUUGACAAAAUAUAAGAGGUCCAGCCUGCCCAGUGACUUAAAGUUAAACGGCCGCGGUACCCUAACCGUGCAAAGGUAGCACAAUCACUUGUUCUUUAAAUCAGGACCAGUAUGAAUGGCCUCACGAGAGCUAUACUGUCUCCCCCCUUUAAUCAGUGAAACUGAUCUCCUCGUGAAGAAGCGAGGAUAACAAUAUAAGACGAGAAGACCCCAUGGAACUUUAAACUUGACCCACUGCCUUAACGUAUAUCAACAAACUUAGACAAGAUGGCUACAAGUCUUUCGGCUGGGGCGACCACGGAGAAAAACCAAACCUCCAAGAUGAAAGGAUAACCCUAAUCAAAGAGCCACCGCUCAAAGAAUCAAUAAACUGACAUAUUGACCCAAACAUUUUGAUCAACGAACCAAGCUACCCUGGGGAUAACAGCGCAAUCCAUUUUAAGAGACCCCAUCAACAAAUGGGCUUACGACCUCGAUGUUGGAUCAGGGUACCCCAGUGGUGCAGCCGCUACUAAAGGUUCGUUUGUUCAACGAUUAAAACCCU